AGCAGCCGCGGUAAUUCCAGCUCCAAUAGCGUAUAUUAAAGUUGUUGCAGUUAAAAAGCUCGUAGUUGAAUUUCGGGAUCAGUUCGUCGGUCGUGCCUUUGGUAUGUACUGGUGUUACUGGUUCCUCCCUUCUGACGAACCGUCAUGUCAUUAAUUUGGUGUGGCGGGAAAUCAGGACUGUUACUUUGAAAAAAUUAGAGUGUUUAAAGCAGGCUCGCGCUUGAAUACAUUAGCAUGGAAUAAUGAAAUAGGACGUUCGAUCCUAUUUUGUUGGUUUCUAGGAUUGACGUAAUGAUUAAUAGGGAUAGUUGGGGGCAUUAGUAUUCAAUUGUCAGAGGUGAAAUUCUUGGAUUUAUUGAAGACUAACUACUGCGAAAGCAUUUGCCAAGGAUGUUUUCAUUAAUCAAGAACGAAAGUUAGGGGAUCGAAGACGAUCAGAUACCGUCGUAGUCUUAACCGUAAACUAUGCCGACUAGGGAUCGGAUGAUGUUAAUUUUUUAAUGACUCAUUCGGCGCCUUACG
rnacentral:rRNA from 1 species